AAUAUAGGUGCGCAUUGCAAAGUUGGUUACACAGGCCUUUGCAUCGGUUUUAAAAAAUCUCCUUUGAUUUUAAAAAGAAAAUUUCGAUUAUUUCGUUAAAUAAAAACCAUCACACUUUGCAAUUAUUACAUAGUUAUGGAGAACAUAAAAAACGGCCGUCAAUAUUAUAAUCACAUGGAGCACCGAGACAUCCAUAAUAACAACGAAUACAUCAAAGUCGAUUGGAGUGAUAUCAUUAAUGAACCGACGGGAGUUCGCAGCGCUGACUUUAGCUGGAAUUUAUCUUACAAGAUUUAUACUAAAAGCCAAAGCUGCUGCUACAAAUCAUUAGCUUACAUUUUGGGACCAAUUUUUGCCUUGUGGUUCGUUUCUUAUGUAUUAUUAGCACAUCUGGUGUUACCAGCCAUGUCUGAGCCGUUUUAGAAUAAGAUUUUCCUUCCUACAACGAUUGAAUAUCAUUAUUUUGGAUGCGACGUGUGUGCCACUGAUGAAAGCUUGCAGUAACAUUUUUUCAAAUGUCAACGUGCGCUACGAGAAAAUGACAGCAGACUUUUCGCCGGCUCAUCGACAGCGAGAACGCGUUAUUCAGAUUGAACCUACUGAAAUUAUAUACGACGAUGUGAAGAACGAAAAAUAGAAUCAAUCGAUAAUAUAUUGCUGCUCGGAUAUUUUGUUUACGAAUUGGACGAUGACGACACGUGAAAUAUCCGGAAAAAUGAAAUGUACAUAGGUUAUUAAGCUAUUUGGCUAGGAAAAAUUAUUUCUGUGUAGCUAAUAUUUGUUAAAGCUUGAAUUCAGCAUAAAAUUAAAUAGCAAAACUUUAAAAGAAAAUAUUAUAUUCGACCGAAAA